ACGGAAGGCAGCAGUGGGGGAUAUUGCACAAUGGGGGAAACCCUGAUGCAGCGACGCCGCGUGAGUGAUGAAGUAUUUCGGUAUGUAAAGCUCCAUCAGCAGGAAAGAUAAUGACGGUACCUGACUAAGAAGCACCGGCUAACUACGUGCCAGCAGCCGCGGUAAUACGUAGGGGGCAAGCGUUAUCCGGAUUUACUGGGUGUAAAGGGCGCGUAGGCGGGGAUGCAAGUCAGAUGUGAAAUCCAUGGGCUUAACUCAUGAACUGCAUUUGAAACUGUAUCUCUAGAGUGUCGGAGAGGUAGAUGGAAUUCCUAGUGUAGCGGUGAAAUGCGUAGAUAUUAGGAGGAACACCAGUGGCGAAGGCGAGCUACUGGACGAUAACUGACGCUGAGGCGCGAAAGCGUGGGGAGCAAACAGGAUUAGAUACCCUGGGA
rnacentral:rRNA from 1 species